GGAGAUGUGGGUGUGGGGACCAUUGUGGGGUCAGCAGUCUUCAACAUCCUCUGCAUCAUCGGAGUGUGUGGAAUCUUUGCUGGCCAGGCUGUGAAGCUCUCCCAUUGGACACUACUCAGAGACUCCGCCUACUACACGCUCUCUAUCGCAGCCCUCAUUGCAUUUAUCUACGACGGGGAGGUUACAUGGUGGGAGUCUCUAGUCCUGAACGUGAUGUACCUCUUCUACAUUCUAAUCAUGAAGU